CAAGUCCCAAAGUUCUAAAAUUUUCAAAGCUCCCAAAGCUUCUAAGUUUCAAAAGAAAAGAAUGAUAGAAAAUCUUUUAUAAGACUAAGGGUUAUGACUCACUAGAUUUACAAGAAUGAUUUGUUAUACUUGAUUUUAUAUUUAAGUAUUUUACAAAAUCAAGCUUAUGUGAUUCAUAUACAUUCAGCAUGCAUUUAUUUUCUAAUUAUGAUGAUGUCU
rnacentral:lncRNA from 1 species